GUGUCAGCAGCCGCGGUAAGACGGAAGGUGCAAGCGUUGCUCGGAAUCACUGGGCGUAAAGGGUGCGUAGGCGGCUUCUUAAGUCUGGUGUGAAAGCCCAGGGCUCAGCUCUGGAAGUGCACUAGAAACUGGGAAGCUUGAGUACCGGAUGGGAGAGUGGAAUUCCUGGUGUAGCGGUGAAAUGCGUAGAUAUCAGGAGGAAUACCGGUGGCGAAAGCGACUCUCUGGACGGUUACUGACGCUGAGGCACGAAAGCGUGGGGAGCAAACAGGAUUAGAUACCCUGGUAGUCCACGCUGUAAACGAUGGGCACUAGGUGUCGGGGGUAUCCACUCCCUCGGUGCCGCCGCUAACGCAUUAAGUGUCCCGCCUGGGAAGUACGGUCGCAAGAUUAAA
rnacentral:rRNA from 1 species